AUUGAACGCUGGCGGCAGGCCUAACACAUGCAAGUCGAGCGGAUGAAGGGAGCUUGCUCCUGGACUCAGCGGCGGACGGGUGAGUAAUGCCUAGGAAUCUGCCUGGUAGUGGGGGAUAACGUCCGGAAACGGGCGCUAAUACCGCAUACGUCCUGAGGGAGAAAGUGGGGGAUCUUCGGACCUCACGCUAUCAGAUGAGCCUAGGUCGGAGUAGCUAGUUGGUGGGGUAAAGGCCUACCAAGGCGACGAUCCGUAACUGGUCUGAGAGGAUGAUCAGUCACACUGGAACUGGGACACGGUCCAGACUCCUACGGGAGGCAGCAGUGGGGAAUAUUGGACAAUGGGCGAAAGCCUGAUCCAGCCAUGCCGCGUGUGUGAAGAAGGUCUUCGGAUUGUAAAGCACUUUAAGUUGGGAGGAAGGGCAGUAAGUUAAUACCUUGCUGUUUUGACGUUACCAACAGAAUAAGCACCGGCUAACUUCGUG
rnacentral:rRNA from 1 species